rnacentral:rRNA from 1 species
AGUUUGAUUCUGGCUCAGGAUGAACGCUGGCGGCGUGCUUAACACAUGCAAGUCGAACGGAGUUUUUAAACGGAAGUUUUCGGAUGGAAGUUUAGAAACUUAGUGGCGGACGGGUGAGUAACGCGUGGGUAACCUGCCUCAUACAGGGGGAUAACAGUUAGGAAUGACUGCUAACACCGCAUAAUAUAGCGAAACCGCAUGAUUUUUGCUAUCAAAUAUUUAUAGGUAUGAGAUGGGCCCGCGUCUGAUUAGCUAGUUGGUGGGGUAAAAGCCUACCAAGGCGACGAUCAGUAGCCGGCUUGAGAGAGUGACCGGCCACAUUGGGACUGAGACACGGCCCAAACUCCUACGGGAGGCAGCAGUGGGGAAUAUUGGACAAUGGGGGAAACCCUGAUCCAGCGAACCGCCGCGUGAGUGAAGAAGUAUUUCGGUAUGUAAAGCUCUAUCAGCAGGGAAGAUAACUGACCAGUACCUGACUAAGAAGCCCGGCUACUACGUGCCAGCAGCCGC